GUACAAAACUGGAGUCAAAAUGCGAAGUCUUCAUAGAAAACUUGAGGAGAGGAUUUAAGAAUCACCUUUUGGGGUCAUGCUGCUAGACAGGUUGAUAUAGAAAGUGUGAAGAGAAAAUCUCCACCAGUGCUCGCUGUAUUCACAAGUUUAAUAAUAGGCAAAUAUCUGGAGCGAGUCACAGCAACAGCAACAAAUCAUACUUGCAUGAUCAUCGAUCCACACAAUUCAGCGGCAAGUGAAUACAGAGCUGA